CUGCGCUUUCCUACCCGUGGACAUGUGGGUAUGGUGGUGCCCAGCCAGCUUCAACCAUGUGGAUGAAGGGGGCACCGUUUGGGGGAACUCGAGCCAAGACGCUGUGUUUGCCGCUCUUCACGGCUGAUCACCUUGAAAGUGACGUCCACUCCCACCAUGCUGCAUCAAUUCCUCCUGCGACUCCUACUGACGACUCCUGUGCCACAGGUGGCUUCUCUCUGCCACUCCACAACCGUGGAUCUCAUUAGGAACACCAGUGACCUUUGAAUUUCCAAAUCCAGAAGCUACCUUUUUCCUUUUUCUCACUUUUUGUAGCGAGCACCAUUUUUGUUUCUUUUAGCUGUAGGUUCUGUACGGUACUACUUAUUCCCCACCCCACUUUUUUUUGAGACAGGGUCUCACCAUAUUGCCCAGGCUGGUCUCGAACUCCUCAACUCAAGCCAUCCUCCCACCUCAGCCUCCCAAACUGUUGGGAUUACAGGCGUGAGCCACCACACCCAGCUUAUUCCCUUUUCUUUGUAAGAGUGGAUGCAAUGGUUCAAAUGUAAAGGAAAUAGGAAAGUAACUCAGUGGACUGCAUUCAAAGGAUAAUGCCCAGACCUCCUGGAGUCACAGGGUGCUAGUGACUGUCAGGUGACACCCAUGCCUCCCAUCCAGAGGCCUCUGGCAAAGCCCCACACUCUCCUUUUGCCGGGGUCGUGCUUGCUGCAAAGUGAUGCCUGCUCAGGGUCUACACACAAUGUAACAGGCCUGUGAAAACCCAACUUAAUUAGAAGUUGGUGGCAUCUUUUCAAACAAACACUUCCAGGAAGUAGCCACUCAGCAUUCCAGGUAAGACUUAGGCUUCCAGGUUUCAAGGGGAGAAAGCCUAAACCAUAAGACGGCAUAUACACAGAGUUGUAGUUGUUGUUGCUGUUUUUGAGACGGAGUCUCGCUCUGUCACCCAGGCUGGAGUGCAGUGGUGCGAUCUCAGCUCACUGCAAGCUCCGCCUCCAGGGUUCACGCUAUUCUCCUGCCUCAGCCUCCCGAGUAGCUGGGACUACAGGCGCCCACCACCACGCCCGGCUAAUUUUUUGUAUUUUUAGUAGAGACGGGAUUUCACCGUGGUCUCGAUCUCCUGACCUCGUGAUCUGCCUUCCUCGGCCUCCCAGAGUGCUGGGAUUCAGGCGUGAGCCACCGCGCCCGGC
rnacentral:lncRNA from 1 species